UUGGAAAAGCUAGUGGUAGAGCAUAUGCUUUGAAUGCAGAUGGUUCUAGGUUCAAGCCCUGGCAUUUCCAAA